rnacentral:rRNA from 1 species
UACGUAGGGGGCAAGCGUUAUCCGGAUUUACUGGGUGUAAAGGGAGCGUAGACGGUAAUGUAAGUCUGAUGUGAAAGCCCGGGGCCCAACCCCGGGACUGCAUUGGAAACUAUGUAACUAGAGUACCGGAGAGGUAAGCGGAAUUCCUAGUGUAGCGGUGAAAUGCGUAGAUAUUAGGAGGAACACCAGUGGCGAAGGCGGCUUAUUGGACGGAAACUGACGUUGAGGCUCGAAAGCGUGGGGAGCAAACAGG